rnacentral:tRNA from 1 species
CAAUAGAGGGUUAGAGCACGUGAUUUGUAAUCUUGGGGUCAUGGGUUCAAGUCCCAUAGGGAGUGC